UGAAGGCCAGGAUGUGACGACAUGACCAUCGCCGAGAUGGUGAAAAGCGCCGACGCCGACGGAGACGGCAACAUCGACUACGAAGAAUUCGUCAAGCUGGCUUCCGCCAAGCGGUUUUAAGCGUGAUGUGUGCUGCUUACGUCAUCGUGCGCGCGCAUGCGCACAGAAGAGGAACAAUGAAGAUGAAGAGAACGGUCGAUCGUUGGAGCUUUUGUUUAUUAUUACACUGACGAGCUAGGGUUAACGCCGCAGUCGGUGGCCAGGUGGCGCUGCUAGCUCGUCUGGUCUGAAUGUACUGCCAUCUUAUUUAUAUGCUGUUUACAUAUGUACAUAGAAUCACGAUUACAUACGUUACCUUUACAGAUAUGAGAUCCUUGUAUGAAUAUUUUGUGUGAAUAUUAUGUUACGGAUUGGUGCUGGUCAUAUAGUAAUAAAAUUCAUUAUAUUGAAGCAACAAA
rnacentral:misc_RNA from 1 species